rnacentral:lncRNA from 10 species
ACAAAAGCUUGUGACUAGGCCCCUUUGUUCCCAGGAAACAGCAGACAGUGAGCCGCAGGGCAGGGCCUCUCCAUGCCGUGAAUUCCCGCUUGUCCUUUCUCACAUAAUCUCAAGUGAGGCUUAUUUACAGCUCCUUGUCUGCCUUCCACCGGGGUGGCACUGGAGUGCCUCCCUGGCUAUUCUCACCCCACAUCUCUUGGAGAUCGUUCCCUCUUAGGACACAUGGCCUUGCCUCAUUGGCUGGAGUGACUGCGUGGUAUUCCGUCUCAUGAGUGUGUCAUGAUGCAUUUAACCCUUCAUCCCCUGUGGAUGGAAGGUUAGGCUGGAUCCCGUCUUUUGCAACCUGAACAAUGUUGGAGAGAUACCAUUUGUGUGCUGGGGGAGACGCAGCCCUAGAAGUGAAGCUGAUGCAGCAAGGGGAGCCAGGGAGGCACAUUGUAAAUGGUGGCGGGUGGUUCCAAAUGGCUCUCGAGAGUACACUCCACCACGAAUAUGUGAGGUGCCUGUGCUCCCCCCGCCCCCGACGUGACAGGUAGAAACUGAUAUUUUUCCUAGUUCUAAUUUGCAUUGAUUUUCUUAGGCUAGGGAUUUUGAAUGACGUGUGUAUCCUAAGGGCCAGGCAGGAGCUAUGUUUCAUUUCCCACAGAAAGCCUCAGAUCACUGGCCUGGGCAGAGAGGAAUGAGAAGCUGGGGCACCUUCUUCAUGUCCUCAAGAGCAGCAAGUCUCUGUUCUGGUCAUUCAAACUCAGUGCCCUAAAAAUGACCAUUAUGUGACCUUGCAUGGCUCUGUGGGGUGGCGGGGCUCAGCUGGGUGGGUCUUCUGCUGCUCUUGCUUGGGGUCUCUUGAGAAGAUGGUCCUGGGGAUGAAGCCAUUGGAGGCUUGGCUCUGAUGCUGUGAUGGUCAGGCCUCGCUUCUCCUCCAGGUGAUCUCAGGGCCUGUCCCUCUCCAUGGGGCCUCUCCACCUGGACGACUUGAGUGGUGCUCAAAGCUCCCAAGGGAGCAAACACCGAGGCUGUCAGGCCUUCUUGAGGCGGAGGCCCAGAGUGGCACAGCCUCACCCCCACGGCACUCUCCUGGAAUGAGUCCCAGAUAGUCCACAAGGGUGUGAUGUUGGGUGACCGUGCUCUGGGCGUGGUGGAUCAGCUGCUGGACGGUGAGAGGCACUCCCUGCAGGUGUUCUACAGUCCAAUACUGCCCAGCUCCGGAGGCUCCUAUUGUACCAGGAGCAGGUGUUGCAUAAGUGCUUUCUGAAGAUCAUGAGACACCUGGUGAGUGAACGAAACCCUGGGUCCCAUGGGCCAGGGGAGACUCGAGCCCCUCCUGGGGCUGGCAAGAGGCCGCGUCCCAGCCAUGGCCUGACCUGGGAUGGGGAUUCUCCAUGAGUUGGAAGUUGGGUUUCCUUUUCUUGCCCCAGAGGAUCCAGAGACGCUGGGACCAGGGCUGAGCUCUGGCUAAGCAGGGCUAAGGGAGUGUGUCCACCGGGCGUCGUGCACGGACGUGUUGGGAGACCCCUGGCCACCACCCAGGGUUCUGCUCCUUGAGGAAGGGUCUGCAGAGGGGCCUGAAAAGGGGGAUUGCAGGGCAGCUCAGGAGGCCCUGAGUACCUCUGCCUCUCCCUGCAGGGCAAGGAAGGACUGUGCAUUGAGUGUUUCAUGCUGCGGUGGCUCCUCCAGUGUUUCAUUGAUGGGAAGCAACAGCGCUGCUGAGGUGGGUCCCCCAUGAGG